rnacentral:rRNA from 1 species
UACAGAGGGUGCAAGCGUUAAUCGGAAUUACUGGGCGUAAAGCGUGCGUAGACGGUUAUGCAAGUCAGAUGUGAAAGCCCCGGGCUCAACCUGGGAAUUGCAUUUGAGACUGCAUAGCUAGGGUGCGGAAGAGGGAAGCGGAAUUUCCGGUGUAGCGGUGAAAUGCGUAGAUAUCGGAAGGAACACCAGUGGCGAAAGCGGCUUCCUGAUCCAGCACCGACGUUCAGGCACGAAAGCGUGGGGAGCAAACAGG